rnacentral:rRNA from 1 species
AUUGACGCUGGCGGCAGGCCUACCACAUGCAAGUCGAGCGGUAACGGAGGUGCUUGGUCCUUUUUCCCGAGAGCGGGACAGGGGAGUAUUGUGUGGGGAACUCUGCGAGGGGGGGGGGGAUCUCUUGUGGACGGGGUCUAUUACCCCGUAUCGUCUCACGAGACCAAAGGGGGACCUUUUGGCCUCUUGCCCCCUCAUAUGCCCCCAUGGGAUAUUCUCUAAUGUGGGGUAUCGCCUCUCCUCUGCGACAAUACCCCUCUGGGGUCAGAGGAUAACCCCCCCCACUGUGACUCAGACACGGUCCCCACACCCCUAGGAGGGGCCACUGGGGAAAAUUUUGCAAUGGGGGCAAACCUGAUGCGCCCCUGUCCCGUGUGUAAAAAAAGCCUCUUCGUUGUAUAAUACUCUCUCCGCGGAGAGAGGGGUUUUGAGUAUUAUACUCUCCGAUUGUGACUUCCCCCACAAAAAACACCCCGUAUAUCUCUGUGCCCACCCCCGCUAAUAUAGAGAGGGCGCGCGUUUUUCUGAAUUUCUCUGCGUAUAACGCACACGCGCGGUCUCUGUCGUCUCAUAUGUAAUCUCCGGGCUCUCACUGGGGGCUGUGUUUUAAACUGUGGGGGUAUAGUCUUGUGUAGAGGGGGUAUAAAUUUCCGGUGUGUCGCUGUGAUGUGCAUAGAUAUCGAGAAAAACCGGUGUGGAAAGCGGCGCCCCGGGAAAAACUGUGACUCUCGUGUGCAAGCGUGUGGGAGAACAAAGAAUAUUAUACCCCGUGAUUCUCCCCGCAAACAAUGUCUCAUGGGGGUUUGUGCUUUAGAGGUGUCUCCCGGGGUAAACCGUUAUACACACCUCGGGGGUAUACGCCCCGGGUAAAAAUCAUUAUUU